rnacentral:rRNA from 1 species
AUCUCUGGGCCGUAACUGACGCUGAGGAGCGAAAGGGUGGGGAGCAAACAGGCUUAGAUACCCUGGUAGUCCACCCCGUAAACGUUGGGAACUCGUUGGGGGGUCCAUUCCACGGAUUCCGUGACGCACCUCACGCAUUAAGUUCCCCGCCUGGGGAGUACGGCCGCUGGGCUAAAACUCAAAGGAAUUGACGGGGACCCGCAUGACCGGCGGAGCAUGCGGAUUAAUUCGAUGCAACGCGAAGAACCUUACCAAGGCUUGACAUAUACGAGAACGGGCCAGAAAUGGUCAACUCUUUGGACACUCCUAAACAGGUGGUGCAUGGUUGUCGUCACCUCGUGUCGUGAGAUGUUGGGUUAACUCCCGCAACGAGCGCAACCCUCGUUCUAUGUUGCCUUCACGUAAUGGUGGGAACUCAUGGGAUACUGCCGGGGUCAACUCGGAGGAAGGUGGGGGAUGACCCCAAAUCAUCAAGCCCCUUAUGUCUUGGGCUUCACGCAUGCUACAAUGGCCGGUACAAAGGGCUGCAAUAC